GAUGGUGAUGUGUUUGUAGAUCUUACUUUACUGAACAUUCUUGCUUCUUACAAUUAUCUCAAUUUAUAUUGAACUUGGCCCAUUAGUUACAGAGGAAAAUAUUUUGUUAAAAUUUACAAAAUUAUUAAAAAUUGACUAUAAAGGGCAAUAACUUCUUAAGGGUCAACUGACCUUUUUGGUCAUGUUGACUUGUUUGUGGAUCUUACUUUGCUGAACACUAUAGUUGUUUACAGUUUGUGGAUCUUACUUUGCUGAACACUAUUGUUGUUUACAGUUUAUCUCUAUCUAUAAUAAUAUUCAAGAUAAUAACCAAAAACAGCAAAAUU
rnacentral:lncRNA from 1 species